rnacentral:misc_RNA from 1 species
AUCUGAAAAGCUGGCAGAAAAGAGAAAGGUAAAAUCAAGAUAAUGCAAAUGAGCAAGAACUUCAAUUCUGUGUUUAGAAAUCCAAUACCAAAUUUUGAAACUGAACCCAUCAUAAAGGACUUUAAGCAGUAAGAACUUAGUAGCUAAAGCCAUGGAAAGUAGAUUAUGGAUGCCAAAAUUGGAUAAUUUAGCUAAAAAGAGAAUUCAAAAUUGAAAAUUGAAA